AUUUAGCCCCGAUAGCAGUGGAAAUCCUUUUUUGUUGGGGUUCAACAAAAAAGAUUGAAACGAAUAGCGGGAAAGAAG
rnacentral:sRNA from 1 species